rnacentral:rRNA from 1 species
CCGCGUGAGUGAAGAAGGGUUUCGGCUCGUAAAACUCUGUUGUUGGAGAAGAACGUAUGUGAUAGUAACUGAUCAUGUAGUGACGGUAUCCAACCAGAAAGCCACGGCUAACUACGUGCCAGCAGCCGCGGUAAUACGUAGGUGGCAAGCGUUAUCCGGAUUUAUUGGGCGUAAAGCGAGCGCAGGCGGUUUUUUAAGUCUGAUGUGAAAGCCCUUGGCUCAACCAAGGAAGUGCAUCGGAAACUGGAAAACUUGAGUGCAGAAGAGGACAGUGGAACUCCAUGUGUAGCGGUGAAAUGCGUAGAUAUAUGGAAGAACACCAGUGGCGAAGGCGGCUGUCUGGUCUGUAACUGACGCUGAGGCUCGAAAGCAUGGGUAGCGAACAGGAUUAGAUACCCUGGUAGUCCAUGCCGUAAACGAUGAAUGCUAGGUGUUGGAGGGUUUCCGCCCUUCAGUGCCGGAGCUAACGCAUUAAGCAUUCCGCCUGGGGAGUACGACCGCAAGGUUGAAACUCAAAGGAAUUGACGGAAUCA